GUACGGCGAGUGAAGCGGCAAGAGCUCAAAUUUGAAAGCUGGCUCCUUCGGGGUCCGCAUUGUAAUUUGCAGAGGAUGUUUCGGAAGCAGCCCCCAUCUAAGUGUCCUGGAACGGACCGUCAUAGAGGGUGAGAAUCCCGUAUGGGAUGGGGUGUCUGCGUCCAUGUGAAACUCCUUCGACGAGUCGAGUUGUUUGGGAAUGCAGCUCUAAAUGGGUGGUAAAUUUCAUCUAAAGCUAAAUAUUGGCCGGAGACCGAUAGCGCACAAGUAGAGUGAUCGAAAGAUGAAAAGCACUUUGAAAAGAGAGUUAAAAAGCACGUGAAAUUGUUGAAAGGGAAGCGCUUGCGAUCAGACUCGCCUUGGGGGUUCAGCCGGCAUUCGUGCCGGUGUACUUCCCCCAGGGCGGGCCAGCGUCGGUUUGGGUGGCUGGUCAAAGGCCCUUGGAAUGUAACGCCUCUCGGGGCGUCUUAUAGCCAAGGGUGCCAUGCAGCCUACCUGGACCGAGGAACGCGCUUCGGCUCGGACGCUGGCAUAAUGGUCGUAAGCGACCCGUCU
rnacentral:rRNA from 1 species